UGUGGGAGCGAGCCUGCUCGCGAAAGCGCUGUGUCAGUCGCCAUCAAUGGGCCUGAUCCACUGAAUUCGCGAGCAGGCUCGCUCCCACA
rnacentral:misc_RNA from 1 species